UACGGAGGAUGCAAGCGUUAUCCGGAAUGAUUGGGCGUAAAGCGUCCGCAGGUGGCUAUGUAAGUCUGCUGUUAAAGAGUGAGGCUCAACCUCAUAAGAGCAGUGGAAACUACAUGGCUAGAGUGCGUUCGGGGCAGAGGGAAUUCCUGGUGUAGCGGUGAAAUGCGUAGAGAUCUGGAGGAACACCGGUGGCGAAGGCGGCAUCCUGGACCGAGAUUGACGCUGAGGCGCGAAAGCCAGGGGAGCAAACGGG
rnacentral:rRNA from 1 species